rnacentral:rRNA from 1 species
UGCUCCUACGGGAGGCAGCAGUGGGGAAUAUUGCACAAUGGGGGAAACCCUGAUGCAGCGACGCCGCGUGAGUGAAGAAGUAUUUCGGUAUGUAAAGCUCUCUCAGCAGGGAAGAAAUACUGACCUUACGGUCAGCAGACGGUACCUGACUAAGAAGCCCCGGCUAACUACGUGCCAGCAGCCGCGGUAAUACGUAGGGGGCAAGCGUUAUCCGGAUUUACUGGGUGUAAAGGGAGCGUAGACGGCUGUGCAAGUCUGAAGUGAAAGCCCGUGGCUCAACCGCGGAACUGCUUUGGAAACUGUAC